rnacentral:rRNA from 1 species
GACGAACGCUGGCGGCGUGCUUAACACAUGCAAGUCGAGCGAUGAAGUUUCUUCGGAAAUGGAUUAGCGGCGAACGGGUGAGGAACACGUGAAGAAUCUGCCCUCCACUUUGGGAUAACACAGGGAAACCUGUGCUAAUACCGAAUAUUGAAACAUAAGUGGCAUCACUGAGUUUUGAAAGAACUUCGGUGGAGGAUGACUUCGCGGCCUAUCAGCUAGUUGGUGAGGUAAUGGCUCACCAAGGCAACGACGGGUAGCCGGCCUGAGAGGGCGACCGGCCACACUGGGACUGAGACACGGCCCAGACUCCUACGGGAGGCAGCAGUGGGGAAUACUGGGCAAUGGAGGAAACUCUGACCCAGCGACGCCGCGUGCGGGAUGAAGGCCUUCGGGUUGUAAACCGCUUUCAGUAGGGAAGAAGCGAAAGUGACGGUACCUACAAAAGGAGCACCGGCUAACUAUGUGCCAGCCGCCGCUGUAA